rnacentral:rRNA from 1 species
ACGAACGCUGGCGGCGUGCUUAACACCUGCCAGUCGCACGGAAAGGCCCUGCUUUUGUGGGGUGCUCGAGUGGCGAACGGGUGAGUAACACGUGAGUAACCUGCCCUUGACUUUGGGAUAACUUCAGGAAACUGGGGCUAAUACCGGAUAGGAGCUCCUGCUGCAUGGUGGGGGUUGGAAAGUUUCGGCGGUUGGGGAUGGACUCGCGGCUUAUCAGCUUGUUGGUGGGGUAGUGGCUUACCAAGGCUUUGACGGGUAGCCGGCCUGAGAGGGUGACCGGCCACAUUGGGACUGAGAUACGGCCCAGACUCCUACGGGAGGCAGCAGUGGGGAAUAUUGCACAAUGGGCGGAAGCCUGAUGCAGCAACGCCGCGUGCGGGAUGACGGCCUUCGGGCUGUAAACCGCUUUCGCCUGUGACGAAGCGUGAGUGACGGUAAUGGGUAAAGAAGCACCGGCUAACUACGUG